UACGGAGGGUGCGAACGUUGCUCGGAAUUCUUGGGCGUAAAGCGCGCGUAGGCGGUUCGGCAAGUCGGGUGUGAAAGCCCUCGGCUCAACCGAGGAAGUGCAUUCGAAACUACCGAGCUUGAGUACUGAAGAGGAUGACGGAAUUCCCGGUGUAGAGGUGAAAUUCGUAGAGAUCGGGAGGAACACCAGUGGCGAAGGCGGUCAUCUGGGCAGAUACUGACGCUGAGGCGCGAAAGCGUGGGGAGCAAACAGG
rnacentral:rRNA from 1 species